AACUAAAGAAACGGGAGCUUGUAGUACAGGCUGAGAGGAAGGUGUGACCUUCGACCGAGAACCUGAUUUGGAUAAUGCCAACGUAGGGAUGCCUUGUUUUAGUAGG
rfam:Butyrivibrio hungatei strain MB2003 chromosome I, complete sequence.